rnacentral:rRNA from 1 species
GAUGAACGCUGGCUACAGGCUUAACACAUGCAAGUCGAGGGGAAACGACGGGGAAGCUUGCUUCCCCGGGCGUCGACCGGCGCACGGGUGAGUAACGCGUAUCCAACCUGCCUCUGACUGAGGGAUAACCCGUCGAAAGUCGGCCUAAUACCUCAUGGCAUCGUCUGCGGGCAUCCAACGACGAUUAAAGAUUUCAUCGGUCAGGGAUGGGGAUGCGUCUGAUUAGCUUGUUGGCGGGGUAACGGCCCACCAAGGCGACGAUCAGUAGGGGUUCUGAGAGGAAGGUCCCCCACAUUGGAACUGAGACACGGUCCAAACUCCUACGGGAGGCAGCAGUGAGGAAUAUUGGUCAAUGGGCGAGAGCCUGAACCAGCCAAGUAGCGUGCAGGAUGACGGCCCUAUGGGUUGUAAACUGCUUUUAUGCGGGGAUAAAGUGAGGGACGUGUCCUUCAUUGCAGUACCGCA